AUAAAAACAAAAAACUGACCACUCUCUUUUUCCUAUGGGGGUCUAUGUGAAAUGAUUACAGACAGCAGACACUUUGGUAGUGUACACAGUCUCUUGCUGGUAUGGGUUGCCCUAAGGGACCUUGGAGAGUUUU
rnacentral:snoRNA from 1 species